rnacentral:tRNA from 1 species
GCGCUGGUGGUGUAAGGCAUAGCAUCACUGCCCGGAAAGCAGAAGAUGCGGGUUUGAGUCCCGCCUGGCGCA